AUGAACGCUAGCGGCAGGCCUAAUACAUGCAAGUCGAACGGGAUUCAGAGCUUCGGUUCUGAUGAGAGUGGGCGCCACGGGUGCGUAACACGUAUGUAACCUACCUUAAUCAGGGGGAUAGCCUCUCGAAAGAGAGAUUAAGGCCCGCAUAAAAUAACGAAGUGGGCAUCACUAUGUUAUCAAAUAUUUAUAGGAUUAAGAUGGGCAUGCGGAACAUUAGCUAGUUGGUAAGGUAACGGCUUACCAAGGCUACGAUGUUUAGGGGAUCUGAGAGGAUGACCCCCCCACACUGGUACUGAGACACGGACCAGGACUCCUACGGGAGGCAGCAGUAAGGAAUAUUGGUCAAUGGCGGAAGCCUGAACCAGCCAUUGCCGCGUGCAGGAAGACGGCCCUACGGGUUGUAAAACUGCUUUUAUACGGGAAUAAACCUUCGUAUGUAUACGAAGCUGAAUGUACUGUAAAGAAUAAGGAUCGGCUAACUCCGUGCCAGCAGCCGCGGGUAAUACGGAGGAUCCAAGCGUUAUCCGGAUUUUAUUGGGUUUUAAAAGGGUGCGUAGGGCGGCUUUUUUAAGUCAGUGGUGAAAGACGGCAGCUUAAACUGUCGCAGUGCCAUUGAUACUGAAGAGCUUGAAUGUACUAGAAGGUAGGCGGAAUGUGACAAGUAGCGGUGAAAAUGCAUUAGAUAUGUACAUAGAACACCAGAUUUGCGAAGGCAGCUUACUACUGGUCAUUAUUGACAGCUGAGGCACGAAAGCGUGGGGAUCAAACAGGAUUAGAUACCCUGGGUAGUCCACGCCCUAAACGAUGGAAUACUCGACUAUACGCGAUAUAUACUGUGUAGUGUCCUGAAGCGAAAGCAUUAAGUAUUCCACCUGGGGAAGUACGACCCGCAAGGGUUGAAACUCAAAGGAAUUGACGGGGGUCCCGCACAAGCGGUGGAGCAUGUGGUUUAAUUCGAUGGAUACGCGAGGAACCUUACCUGGGCUAGAAUGCGGUUUUGACCGUGGGUGAAAGCUCACUUUUGUAGCAAUACACAGAUCGUAAGGUGCUGCAUGGCUGUCGUCAGCUCGUGCCGUGAGGUGUUGGGUUUAAGCCCCGCAAACGAGCGCAACCCCUAUCACUAGUUGCCAUCAGGUAAUGCCUGGGAACUCUAGUGAAAACUGCCGCCGUAAGGCGUGAGGAAGGAGGGGAUGAUGUCAAGUCAUCAUGGCCAUUUAUGCCCAGGGCUACACACGUGCUACAAUGGCGAGUACAAAGGGCAGCCUAACCUGGUGACAGGAUGCUAAUCUCAAAAAACUCGUCUCAGUUCGAAUUGGAGUCCUGCAACUCGACUCCAUGAAGCUGGAAUCGCUAGUAAUCGUAUAUCAGCAAUGAUACGGUGAAUACGUUCCCGGACCUUGUACACACCGCCCGUCAAGCCAUGGAAGCUGGGUGUACCUAAAGUCGGUAACCGCAAGGAGCCGCCUAGGGUAAUAAAACUAGUAACUGGGGCU
rnacentral:rRNA from 1 species